rnacentral:SRP_RNA from 1 species
UACCAGCCGGGGCGGCAGCGGUGCCUUGUACCUGAAAUCCGCUAUAGCAGGGGUUCAUUCCCCGCCAGAGGGCUGUUUUUGUGUAGUCUGCGCCGUCGUGAUCUGUGUUGAAGGAUGGGUCCUGCGCAACGUGCGGCUGUGAACCAUGUCAGGUGGGGAACCAAGCAGCAUUAAGCGGUUUUGCGCGUGUGCCGCAGGGAAGCCUGUCCGGAGCAGAUGCGGCGGUUACCGUAUGUAAGAAUACGUUCG